GAGGUCACUCUCAUUUAAAAGAAAGGAACAUGGCGUCUGCUAUCACGAUUGUCAAGAAUGCACAAGGAAAAGCUGCAGUGUGGAAACACUUUGGAUUUGUCAAAGAGAAUGAUAUUGUAGAUAAGAAGAGAGUUGCAUGCAGCCUUUGUGAAACAAUUCUGAAAUACUGUUCUAACACGACGAACCUGAACGACCAUAUUCAUCGGAAGCACCCGUCCCUGAAUCAGGAUCCUCUGCAAGUUCCGGCAGCUCAGGGGAAAUUGUUAACCACUCCAAGUUCGACGGCACAAACUCUAGGCCUUGCGACAAUGUUUGUGACUAAAAUCUCUCCAACAUCUCUGAGAGGAAAAGCAAUUACCGGGGCGAUAUACCCGAUUUAUUGUGCAGGAUUUACGGCUGUUUAGCAUUGUCGAAAACGCUGGGUUUAAGAACUUGAUUCAUGUACUGGAACCGAAGUAUGUCAUACCCUCAAGGCAACAUUUUUCUGAUAAAAUGAUACCCAAAAUCUACGUCGAUGUUAAGAACAAACUUAAGACUGAACUUAAGGGCCAGUUCGUGUCACUGACCACAGAUGGUUGGACCAGCCGGGCCACUGACUCAUACAUAAAUAUUACGAGUUGCCAUAUUGACGCCAAGUUGGAGAUGAAAAACUAUGUACUUCAGCCCCAAGCUAUGCCGGAUAGCCACACUGAUAGUAACAUCGCAGCGGUUCUGAAGGAAGCUGUGACCGAAUGGGAACUGUUCCCACCCAACCCCCCUAUUGUCAGUGAUAACGCUGCCAACAUGAGCGUAGCUGCCAAAGAAUUUGGAACCACAUUACGCGUUGGAUGUUUCGCCCAUACCCUCAACUUGGCCUGUGGGCGAGCUCUAAAGCUGAACACAGUGUCCAAACUCUUAGCAAGGAUGAGACGUAUUGUUGCGUACUUCCAUCGCAGCACUACAGCUGCAGCUGUUCUUAAACAAAAACAAGAACUUCUACAAUUGCCUUCUUACAAAUUAGUUAUUGAUGUACAGACAAGAUGGAAUUCUGCUUUAGAUAUGACAUGAAGGUUUCUGGAACAACAGGCAGCAUUUUAUGCAUCGCUCACCGAAAAAGACCUGCGUGGAAAGGAGGAGGACAUAUCUACUUAGACCUAAAUGAUGUCACUGCGGCAGAGGAAACUUGUGGCUGUCCUUACACCACUCAAGAUAGCCACUACAGUACUAUGUGAGGAAAGUAUUCCUACGCUGUCCAUGGUGUUGCCUCUUCAACAUCAGCUCGUGAACAUUCUGAUUGUGAUCAAGGAUCAGGACACAGAAGUGGUAAAGCAGGUGAAACGUGCCGUGGUUAGUGAUCUCAAAGGAAGGUAUGAUGACAUACAUGUAAAACAAGAACUUACAACCGCCUCCAUUCCAUAACCUGACACGUGCUGCAAUUUCUGCUAAAACCGUUGUCAAGAGUGAACCAACAGAUGAUGCAACCCAUGUAGACCCAGUUGAUGCGGAUCUACCGAGACUGCCAGUGUCUUUGGAUGAUUCCCCUUCAGUGUCACCCUCCACUACCAGUGUAUCCGCCCCUAGUGCGAUGUCCAGUCUCUUUGGCGAUGUCUACAUUACCAAGGUAGUAGGACCCAAAUCAACUGAGGAAUUGUGUGAACAGGAGGUCAUAAGUUACCAAAAGGAACCACCAAUAAAUGCUACUGACAAUCCCUUAAAAUGGUGGGACAAGUACUGUGAAAUGUAUCCUAUGUUGGCUUUGCUUGCUAAACAGUAUCUGUGCAUACCAGCAACAUCAGUUCCUUCAGAGAGUCUUUUCCACGGCGGGCGACAUUGUAACUGCUCAGAGGUCCGCAUUGAGACCUGACUAUGUGGACAAGAUGAUCUUUCUAAGGAAGAACUGGAAACUGAUGAAGAAAAGUGUGCAAAUCGGAAGUUAGAAAUAUGACUUUGGACAGAUACCAAAGAAGAGAAGGCAUGAUGGUCCCAGGGCUUCAAAGGGUUCCAGAAAUCGGCCUACAUCUGAUGAAGCACUUCCAGAAGGAAGAAUUGAACAACUAGAGUCUCCAUCUUUGAGUGAAGAAGAAGGACCAGAGUGAUUUGUAGGGAUCUGGAAUUUCCUCCGGUGAUGUGCUGGCAGAGAGGGACAAUGUUACCAAGUACAUCAUAGAAUUACGUCAGAACUCUGGGUUUCAAGUUCAAGACUUAAGCCACAGUAACAAGACACAGCAGACAAACCACUAUUGUGUAGUAAAAAGGAAGUGGUACGUAAAAUCAUCAGACCAGGAUGCUUGUAUUUGGUGCUAUUCGUGCAACUCAUCAGGAGUCCAGGAUUUUGACAGUAUCCCACCAACAGUUACAGACAACU